GGGGUAUUAGCUCAUCUGGUAGAGCGUAACGUUCGCAAUGUUAAGGUAAGGGGUUCGAGUCCCCUAUACUCCA
rnacentral:tRNA from 1 species